rnacentral:rRNA from 1 species
GUGGGGAAUCUUCCGCAAUGGACGAAAGUCUGACGGAGCGACGCCGCGUGAGUGAAGAAGGCCUUCGGGUCGUAAAGCUCUGUCAUCAGGGACGAACGGCCGGUGGAGUGGAAAGCCACCGGAUUGACGGUACCUGAGAAGGAAGCCACGGCUAACUACGUGCCAGCAGCCGCGGUAAUACGUAGGUGGCAAGCGUUGUCCGGAAUUAUUGGGCGUAAAGCGCGCGCAGGUGGGAUCUUAAGUCCAUUUUGAAAGUUCGGAGCUCAACUCCAUGAUGGGAUGGAAACUGGGAUUCUUGAGUACCGGAGAGGAAAGCGGAAUUCCCCGUGUAGCGGUGAAAUGCGUAGAUAUGGGGAGGAACACCAGUGGCGAAGGCGGCUUUCUGGACGGUGUCUGACACUGAGGCGCGAAAGCCAGGGGAGCGAACGGGAUUAGAUACCCUAGUAGUCC